UGCAGGGUAGAGCAAUUUGGCAGCUCACAGGACUCAUAUUCCUGAAGUUGCGGGUUCAAGUCCCGCCCCUGCUA
rnacentral:tRNA from 1 species